rnacentral:lncRNA from 1 species
GGGCGUUGUGCCUUUAUAAGACUGCGUUAAUGUUUCCGUGGAGUUAUCCCUUCCGUUGUUGUUUAUUGAUUGUUAAACAUGGCUUCAUUUGCAAAGGUGGUUGUGUGUCUCCUCAUUGCUUGUGUCUGUAAUGGUAAGUUUCCCCCUUGUUUCUGUUAGUUGCUUUUUAAUCUUGAAAAUCUGUCUGAAAUAGUCACUCGUUUUGUGUUCCUUUGAACAGCAUUCUGUUUUCCGAGGAGAGAUGUGAACUUUAAGGCCUCUGCAGUUGACCGACAAAGUGAUGAUGUGGUUGUCACCACAACACCAGUUCCCCACAACCAGACCACAUCUGUCAAUACUGAAGCUGGUGGUGCAAGUGAAGAUGCUGUGGCUACUACCCCAGCACCUAAUCCACACAACCAGACAACUCCUGCACAAACUGAAGUUACUGAUGGAGCCAGUGAAGAUGCUGUGGACCGCCAAAGUGAUGAUGUGGUUGUCGCCACAACACCCGAUCCCCACAACCAGACCACAUCUGUCAAUACUGAAGCUGGUGAUGGAGCAAGUGAAGAUGCUGUGGCUACCACCCCAACACCAAAUCCUCCAACUACAUCUGACCACACUGCAGCUACCGAUGAUCCAAGUGAGGGUGCUGUGGCUGCCCAAACUGGAACUACUGGCAAGGGAGUUAUGAUUAUACAAGGAACCACUUGGAUGGUUCAAACUGUUUGCUCUAAAAAUGUAUUAACAAGGAAUCUGAUGCAGUGCAAGGGUCU